rnacentral:rRNA from 1 species
AUGCGGCAUGUGGUUAACUUCUACUCUACCCUCCUUUCUGCUAAACCAGACUUGGGGUUUAGGUUGGUGCCGUCCUUCUGGUCGUCCCUCGAACAGGUCUUGAGCGAUGAAAAUGAAAGUCUGUUGAUUCACCCGUCUGAAAAAGAGAUUUUCGAUGCGAUUCGAUUUGCCAAUCCCAAUGCGGCCUUUGGGCCCGAUGGUUUUUCCAUCCCCUUCUUUAGACAAUUCUGGCCUCAGUUAAAAGGCCUCAUCUUGGCUAUUAUUCAAGGUUUUUGGCUGGGAACCGUUGACAUUUCUAGACUGAAUUACGCGGUGCUUACUCUCAUCCCUAAGAUCAAAGGAGCUGACUUGAUCUCCCAAUUUAGGCCCAUUGCUCUAAUCAAUAACUUCGCGAAGAUUCCGGCUAAGGGUUUGGCCACUAGGGUUUCUCUGAUCGCUCAUCGUGUCAUUAGCCCUUCCCAGUCCGCUUUUAUAAAGGGGAGAUUCAUACUGGACGGGGUUCUUUGCUUGCAUGAGAUUGUUCAUGACUUGCGGACCAAGGGCACUCGGGUUGUAGUUCUUAAACUUGACUUUGAAAAGGCCUACGAUUCGGUGAGCUGGAAUUUCCUUCGUCAGGUUCUU